ACUCCUACGGGAGGCAGCAGUGGGGAAUAUUGCACAAUGGGCGCAAGCCUGAUGCAGCCAUGCCGCGUGUAUGAAGAAGGCCUUCGGGUUGUAAAGUACUUUCAGCGGGGAGGAAGGGAGUAAAGUUAAUACCUUUGCUCAUUGACGUUACCCGCAGAAGAAGCACCGGCUAACUCCGUGCCAGCAGCCGCGGUAAUACGGAGGGUGCAAGCGUUAAUCGGAAUUACUGGGCGUAAAGCGCACGCAGGCGGUUUGUUAAGUCAGAUGUGAAAUCCCCGGGCUCAACCUGGGAACUGCAUCUGAUACAGGCAAGCUUGAGUCUCGUAGAGGGGGGUAGAAUUCCAGGUGUAGCGGUGAAAUGCGUAGAGAUCUGGAGGAAUACCAGUGGCGAAGGCGGCCCCCUGGACGAAGACUGACGCUCAGGUGCGAAAGCGUGGGGAGCAAACAGGAUUAGAUACCCUGGUAGUCCACGCCGUAAACGAUGUCGACUUGGAGGUUGUGCCCUUGAGGCGUGGCUUCCGGAGCUAACGCGUUAAGUCGACCGCCUGGGGAGUACGGCCGCAAGGUUAAAACUCAAAUGAAUUGACGGGGGCCCGCACAAGCGGUGGAGCAUGUGGUUUAAUUCGAUGCAACGCGAAGAACCUUACCUGGUCUUGACAUCCACGGAAGUUUUCAGAGAUGAGAAUGUGCCUUCGGGAACCGUGAGACAGGUGCUGCAUGGCUGUCGUCAGCUCGUGUUGUGAAAUGUUGGGUUAAGUCCCGCAACGAGCGCAACCCUUAUCCUUUGUUGCCAGCGGUCCGGCCGGGAACUCAAAGGAGACUGCCAGUGAUAAACUGGAGGAAGGGUGGGGGAUGACGUCAAGUCAUCAUGGGCCCUUACGACCAGGGCUACACACGUGCUACAAUGGGCGCAUACAAG
rnacentral:rRNA from 1 species